rnacentral:rRNA from 1 species
GACGAACGCUGGCGGCGUGCUUAACACAUGCAAGUCGAACGGAAAGGCCCUGCUUUUGUGGGGUGCUCGAGUGGCGAACGGGUGAGUAACACGUGAGUAACCUGCCCUUGACUUUGGGAUAACUUCAGGAAACUGGGGCUAAUACCGGAUAGGAGCUCCUGCGGCAUGGUGGGGGUUGGAAAGUUUCGGCGGUUGGGGAUGGACUCGCGGCUUAUCAGCUUGUUGGUGGGGUAGUGGCUUACCAAGGCUUUGACGGGUAGCCGGCCUGAGAGGGUGACCGGCCACAUUGGGACUGAGAUACGGCCCAGACUCCUACGGGAGGCAGCAGUGGGGAAUAUUGCACAAUGGGCGGAAGCCUGAUGCAGCAACGCCGCGUGCGGGAUGACGGCCUUCGGGUUGUAAACCGCUUUCGCCUGUGACGAAGCGUGAGUGACGGUAAUGUGUAAAGAAGCACCGGCUAACUACGUG